UUCCGGCAGAGAGGGACGUAGUGAAGUCAUUCCGCUGCACCAUGUAAGCAAAACAUGUGUGCUUUCUGAGAGGAGGGGAUGGUUUCAGAUAAGGAGAUUCGAGCCGCUGUCCUCGAAGGGAAAGCAAGACUUUGAUAAACAGAGAACGAAACAUUCCAGGCAGAAGCCAAACGGGCAGAUGAGCAGAGACUGACUGCUGGGUGUACUUGGGGAGUCGCCAGUGGUCUGAGAUGAACAAGCUAUGAUAAUAUAAGACAAGAAGGUUAUCGUCACUGCACCGCGUGGGUCUUAUCAGACACAGGGCCGGGGACGAGGCUUUUACACUGUAAAGCCCAUCAAGUUUUGAAGAAAGGACACUCCGUUUCUUUGUUUGCAAAGACGGCUGAAUCUGAGAUGUCCUUCAGUAAGGAAGCCAGCAGUUACGUGCAGUGCUAACCUACAUCCAACAUGCAGUGUCUUGCUUCCCUAAUUAGCUUCAAGGCUAUCCUUCCUUCUGCCUCCGUACUGUUUUGGGUAAGAAUGAAAACGAUCUCAACCAAGCCAUUGCACUAAUUCUUGACCCUGCAUCAGAUUUCGUUACUCACCCUGGCUUGUCAGUUAAACUGUAAAUUGGCAGAUUAGUAAUGAUGUACAAGACGCCCCCUAUUCAUCAACAGCAUCCUAACUCCUUUCCUGAGCCUCCCUUAUAGAGGGGGAAGCUGUUUGACCGAGUGCAGAAGGCUCGGGCCAGUGAUCUAUAAGUAGAAACCACGUGUGCCUGUUUGGAGCCCAGGAAGUUAAAGAGCUGGUGCACCUCCCCCAGCUUCUCUAUUUCUUCACCUACUCUCAAAAUUUUGGAUCGGAAGCCAUUAUCCCCAAUUGGAAGGAAGUCUGUCUGACCUACGCUGACAUCUAUAAGAUGCUAGAGCUUUUCCCAGGGUCUUGUACUUUCUGGGCAGGCAUUUUAUUACCAAGUCACAUCCUUGUCAUGCCUGAAGAAUCUGAAUCUUGCUUCACUCCUUGGGUCAUGAUAUGCACAUUACGGGAAGAUAUCCAUGGCUGGCCUUGAACUCCUGUCCUUCUUUCUUGGACGUUCUGAGUGCUGGAAUUCUAGUCAUGCAUCAUCAUGUCAUGAUGUCUGCCUGAAAAAAAAUUAUUAAACUUUCCAACUGAAAAGUUGCAAUCAUACUCCAAGCGAUAGUACAAAGAGAAUGCUUUCUUGAUUCUAUCUCCUGGGUUCUAUCUCCAUUUCCUAUCAUACACACACGCACGCACGCGCACACACACACACACACACACACACACACACACACACUACUAUUUCUUGAAAUCUCUUUCCAGAUGGGCACUGGGACAUUGUGAUUAUUCCCGAUCUCAUGGCAAACUGUCAAAAGCUCAACAAUUGGCCAGAUCACUGGUGUCCCAGCAGCCUUUGCUCUUCUCACUUGCUGCUAGUGUCUAAUUCAAUAAAGGAUGUUACCGUAA